CGGAGAUUGGCAUUGUUGGCUGAAUAAUAGCGUGUACCAAGCGGUGGUUAGAUGCGACCGCGAGGGACUACUCUCCUCGCCCAGGAACAUGGGGAUACGCACGUAAUAAAGAUUUAAAGUAUUGGCCCAACGGUGGACCCACGUUCGACCAUUUGAUUUGAAUUCACCAAGUAAAUCCGGAUUGGAAGCACGUUUCUUUCUAUGGAGUUGGAGCCCCAAGCGGUGUGAAGUGCCGAAAUUUCUACCCAGCGAAAGAAGGACUCGCCUAAUUGCCGGAAAAACUCAGAGAAUGUUCGAUCACGUGGUUAUCCUGCACACACCAGAUCGGCUAUUUGCCUUCAAGUUCUCUUUCUUCAACGAUUUCUUCGAGCUUCCGUCACUGGAUUCUUCAGUCGACAUUUCGCAUAGAUCAACUAGUUUCUCUCUAGGCGAUGCUCCAAUAGUCGACACAGGUCUCUGAUUUUGUGCUUUCCGCGCGUUACAAUGCGAUGUUAAAAAAAAGGUGCACCCGACCGGUCGUAUGUUCCGUACUCUCGUGCGACCCGAGCAGUCGUAUACAAUCAAUCGUUCGAGAAAUCACCCACCAAUGCUUCUCGCAGUCGUUGGCAGAGGGUGUCGCACCUCGACAUUGUGUCAUCUCUCGAGUCAAUUUUUUCAUCGUUGAAACUGUCCAAGUGUAGCAAGUGUGAGUUGACAGCCUGCCUCGUCGUAUACUUACCACAAAUCGCCGUUGGACAAUGCUCUCCUUAUAAUCCAGUACACAUUCAAGACAAACGUCACUGUAACGAGUUUGAAUUUUUAAAUCACUUUCCUCCGAUAUGUAUGGUCGAAUAUGUGUGCCAAAAUUUUCAUUCCAAAUUCUUGCGCCAAAAAAUACGAUCGAUUAUUUUUCCGAACGAGUUUUAAUCGACUCGAAAUGAGUAGGAGAUUCAAUAGCGCGAAUAUCGUGCAACGGACAAUAAAAUCCUUCAAAAUGAUUCAUCGGGCCU